UAAAAAGGAACAAAUGUUAUCUUUCAAAAAGCCAGUGGGCCAUGGCUGACUUCCCACAUUCUUCCAGGAUUUACUUCUAUCCACAUCAAAAUUAAGCACAGAUUCAGAUUUGCCGGUGAUGGUCUUUUUAGUGUCCUUUGGCUAUCAAAUCAUGGCACUGCUGAAGAAUAUACCUCAACAACCCUUACAGGAAAUGCAGAAGGAUUUUUUUGAGAAGGCUCCAAAAUGCUGGGAUUACAGACUGGUUACUAUGUGCACUAACCCGCACCAUUCUGAAUCUGCUAUUGUGAUAUGACCUGUGGACUCUGGAAGAUGGCACAGAAUUGAAAACUGAAACGGUGAGAAGAUUAGGAAGAGACCAUCACUGAUGCAUGCUAGCCAAACUGUAAGAAACAAGACAUCGACUCUAAAGGUAUCCAGGGCUUACCCUAAAUGAAGUCUGUUUAUCAUUUUAAUGCAUGUGUUUCAAUGUGCGUUAAAUUUGAUGUCAUAUUUUAAAAAUCCUAAUUCUGGUAGCCAUUCAGCUGCCUCCCCCAUGUAAAAUCAGGCCUUCAAAAGAUGCCUAAUAUUUAAUAAUAUCAUUGUUGGAAGGAAAAUGCUGUUAGUCUGUUAUGCUUGGGUUGUCCUUGAAUAAGCAUGUGUGUAUAUUGUCUUAUUUUUAUGCCAUAAUGUAUUACAACACUUUUAUCAUU